AAUUUUCUGUUUUCUAAAUACAACUAAAAUCAGAAAACACUGUUUUAGAGUUUUCUAUCAAGAAAAUUAUCGCGAAAAAAAAAAUACUCGAAAAAGAAAAAGAAGAAAUCAUGGAGAACUGGAGAAGGGUUGAAGGUUCAUCGAUCUAUUCUUCUUCUUCUCCUUCCUUCUCCUCCCUUCUCCUCCUCACCUCUCUCUUCUCUUUCACCAUAAUCUUUCUUCCUCUUAUUCUUCUCUCUCUUUCUUCUUCACAACACAACAUCACUGACUGUUUUCAUCUUCGAAAGGUAAUUGAUUGCUAUUACUUCUUCAUGUUUCUAUUCAAUCAAUUAUUGAUAUAAUUAUUAAAUCUAAGAAUGAUUUCUACUUAAUCUCUAAUUUUGACAUUUAUCUUCUUAGGUUUUCAACUUUUUGUUACAAGUGAUUACAGUUUGGAGCUUUCUUCUUCCGUCAAUAAUCAAUUAGAGAAAGGUACAAUUUUUUGAUUUCACAAUUAUUAUUAUCAACAGAUAGUAUUAAAAUUUGGGGUUUUCUUCUUUGGGAUUUAGGGGUUUGACUGAAUUUAGCUUAGCUUUUGAACCAAUGUAUUUUGUGGGAUUUUGCGAGCAUGGGAAUUUUCCCUGGGAUUUUGCGAUUGUUAUUAAAUUUGGGGUUUUCUUCUCUGCAUAUGCUUAUAGACAUUGGAAGGGCUUCUCAUUGCCGAAUAAACAUUGCCCUUAUUAUUCUCAAUACCUUAAGGAACCUGCAUGAAACGUAAUUGUGCAACGGCGUUAGACAUUUUGUUUGUUGCAUUCAAGCUAGAAAAGUGCAUGCAUGCCAGUUAACAACUUUAGAAGAUGUGGUUCCUUCAAAAAUCAUAAUACAAGUACUGUAUGAUGUGAUUUUUUUUUAACCAUACCUAAGAGAGCCAAUGAAGAGCAUAGAAAGAAUGAACAAAGUUUAAGGUUUUGGUUGGAAAGAGCCUGUUAUAAAACGAUCCUGGCACCCCUGCCACAAAACUAGGUCCAACUUCUUGUCCAUUUUCUGACCUGAAUUUCUUAAAGAAAUAAGGAAUCGAUUUAAAGAUGGUGUUAAAAUCAUUUUCUGGAAGAUCAUUUAAAAACACUUGAAACUCAAGUGGCGAACGUCCCAAUUUCUGACAGACUACACUGAUAGCUUUUAGAAGCUCGAAAAUGACAAAUAUUGAGUUAGGUCCUGAAGAACAACCCAGGUCUGCGAUUGUUAAACACGGAGGGGAAGUUCUGUUGUAAAGUUCUACAAUAGUCUCUUCUAUAAAUGGCUUUGCUUUGGACAGUACAGAUUUCUGCAUAUAUUGCCAGUGAAAAUGUGAUUAGUUGAUGAUUAAAUUAGAAUAAAGUAAAAGUAUAUAUAGUGGUAUAUAUGUACCCGAGAGAAAGAAAGACCUGGAAGGAUGAGUUUUUAGCAUAACUAUUUUCUCCAACACCCUCUUUCAUGAUAUCCAUGCUGUAUGAUAAUCGUUGAAGAUUAACAACACUACUGUUGACUCCGUUGAUGUUGGUGAAGAACGAAGACUGAGUCCAGAUGCAAGAGAAGCUAGUAUGCGGACCUUGGGUAUCAGUCACAUAUCUAGUAGAAGAAUGAGAGUAUCGUCAUCUUAGACCAUUGAGUAAUUGAAAAGAACUGAAUGGUGGCGACUGGCCUGUAUACACUAUACAUGUACAUAUACAUAUAAUUUACAGUUCCAUUACUGAAUCUUGUUUUACUUGGAGUAAGGUCCUCCAAAAUUUUUGGCCAAAGUAAGUAUAGCUGCAAAUCAUACUAUCUGUUGUUUGUGUAUUGGCACUGCAGCUUGCAAGAAAACGAUCUAAAUAGACUUGUUUGGGGCUCCAUGGAACAUGAAAUAUUGAGUUUAAGCUGUCUUUUUUCUAUAUUGCAAUGGUUUUGCAUGUGCAUAAUGCUUUUGCGUGUAUACUACAAAUGCAUGUACAUUUUUCUGAAAUGAUUAACACUCUUUCUAAUCGUAAUGCAGUGAAAUGGCACAAGCUUUGCCCAGCAGUUCUAUGCAAGGUUCAUCAAGUAGUGAUUCCAGUUCUAGUGAUGAUGAUUAUGUCAUAUGUAGUUUUAUAUAUAUUUAGUAUUUAGCUUAUUUUUUAGUGUUGAAUUUGUCAUAUGUAGUUUAUGUAUUGGUAUUUUGGAUUAUGUAAACAAUGCUUUAUUAUUGUAAGGAUUUUGUAGAAUGCGCUUUAUUAUUUUCUUAAGUCAUUAUUUUGGUUGUAUUUUUAAAUUUGAAAGAAG
rnacentral:lncRNA from 1 species